rnacentral:rRNA from 1 species
GCUGGCGGCAUGCUUUACACAUGCAAGUCGAACGGGCUUGGGGGCAACUCCAAGUAGUGGCGAACGGGUGAGUAAUGCAUCGGAACGUGUCCAGAAGUGGGGGAUAACCCGGCGAAAGCCGGGCUAAUACCGCAUAUUCUCCACGGAGGAAAGCGGGGGAUCGCAAGACCUCGUGCUUUUGGAGCGGCCGAUGUCCGAUUAGUUUGUUGGUGGGGUAAUGGCCUACCAAGGCGACGAUCGGUAGCUGGUCUGAGAGGAUGAUCAGCCACACUGGGACUGAGACACGGCCCAGACUCCUACGAGAGGCAGCAGUGGGGAAUUUUGGACAAUGGGGGAAACCCUGAUCCAGCCAUGCCGCGUGCGGGAAGAAGGCCUUCGGGUUGUAAACCGCUUUUAGCUGGGAAGAAAAGAUCACGGAUAACACCCGUGGUUCUUGACGGUACCGGCGGAAUAAGCACCGGCUAACUACGUGCCAGCAGCCGCGGUAAUACGUAGGGUGCGAGCGUUAAUCGGAAUUACUGGGCGUAAAGCGUGCGUAGGCGGUUCGUUGUGUCCGUCGUGAAAGCCCCGGGCUUAACCUGGGAACUGCGAUGGAAACUAGCGAGCUGGAG